rnacentral:tRNA from 1 species
UGGAAACGUGCCUGAAAUAUAAGGACCUCCUUGAUAGGGAGAACAAUAGGGACUAGACCCCCUCGUUUCCU